AGUGAACGCUGGCGGUAUGCCUAACACAUGCAAGUCGAACGGCAGCACAGUAAGAGCUUGCUCUUACGGGUGUCGAGUGGCGGACGGGGGAGGAAUACAUCGGAAUCUACUUUUUCGUGGGGGAUAACGUAGGGAAACUUACGCUAAUACCGCAUACGACCUACGGGUGAAAGCAGGGGAUCUUCUGACCUUGCGCGAGUGAAUGAGCCGAUGUCGGAUUAGCUAGUUGGCGGGGUCAAGGCACACCAAGGCGACGAUCCGUAGCUGGUCUGAGAGGAUGGUUACACAGCUUGGCACUGAGAAAGGGCACCGACUCCUACGCGAGGACGCAGUGGGGACUACUGGACAAUGGGGGCAAGCCUGAUACAGCCAUACCGCGUGAGUGAAGAUGGACCUAGGGUUGUAAAGCCCUUUUGUUGGGAAAGAAAAGCAGCAGGUUAAUACCCCGCUGUUAUGACGGUACCCAAAGAAUAAGCACCGGCUAACUCCGUG
rnacentral:rRNA from 1 species